ACCCGCCAGGGAACUACGAGCUCAAACUUAAAACCUAAGGACUUGACGGUGUUCCAUCCCCCUAGAGGAGCCUGUUCUAUAAUCGAUUCUCCACGAUAUACCUCACCACCCCUAGAACAUUCAGCCUGUAUACCUCCGUCGCAAGCUCACCAUGUGAACGCACCCAGUAAGCUCAAGGAUUAAAAUCAAAACGUCAGGUCAAGGUGCAGCCUAUGGAAUGGAAAGAAAUGGGCUACAAUCUCUAUAUUAGAACAAACGGAAAACUGCAUGAAACACAGUAUUGAAGGCGGAUUUAGUAGUAAAAAGAAAAUAGAGAGUUCUUUUUAACCCGGCACUGGAACGCGUACACACCGCCCGUCACCCUCUUCGAAUAGUAUAUAUCAUGUUACUAACACAACACACACCCCCUAGAAGAGGCAAGUCGUAACACGGUAAGCGUACUGGAAAGUGCGCUUGGAAACAAAAUGUAACUUAACAAAAGUACCUUGCUUACACCAAGAACAUGUCCGUGCAACCCAGACCAUUUUGAGCCAAAAACCUAGCCCAUUAAAAUACGUAUAAAAACAACCCCCCCCCCCCUAAAAUGAACAAAACAUUUAACAAACCAAGU
rnacentral:rRNA from 1 species